GAUGAAGAACGUAGCGAAAUGCGAUAAGUAAUGUGAAUUGCAGAAUUCAGUGAAUCAUCGAAUCUUUGAACGCACAUUGCGCCCGCCAGUAUUCUGGCGGGCAUGCCUGUUCGAGCGUCAUUUCAACCAUCAAGCCCCCGGCUUGUGUUGGGGACCUGCGGCUGCCGCAGGCCCUGAAAACCAGUGGCGGGCUCGCUAGUCACUCCGUGCGUAGUAAUACAUCUCGCUCAGGGCGUGCUGCGGGUUCCGGCCGUUAAAAAGCCUUAUUUACCCAAGGUUGACCUCGGAUCAGGUAGGAAGACCCGCUGAACUUAAGCAUAUCAAUAAGCGGAGGA
rnacentral:misc_RNA from 1 species